UAUCAUUCUCUGCCAUUGGAGAGACAAAAACAUUCACAGUGAAAGUGUAUGGCCCAAAGAUUGCACAGCAGCCAGUCAUGUCAGGCGCAAUCUGGUGGAACGAUGGGACGUAUGUGGUGAGAAGUCCACUAGUUGUAUACAACAUUUUACCCGGUGCUACUUAUUCUUCUCCCUACUCCUUGACCAAGCCACAGAAAACACCUAAAUUCGAAGGUUCUUCGGUGUAUCACAAGAAUGGCAUCCUCGGACAUGACUAGCUAAAAAACACCACGUUUG
rnacentral:misc_RNA from 1 species